AAUUUCGUUUUGUGUAGAGAUUAGGAAAUAUGCUAUUUAGUCAUCAGAAGAAUACCAUCGGUAUGAAAUACUUUGUAGUGUUAAGUACUAUUUGUUAUUAAAUAUACAUUUUCAAAGACACAUGUUGAUUUAUUCUCAGGUGCUCAGACAAGAAGGUAGAAAAAGAUAAUUUUUAAAAUUUGAAUGGAUUUGGCAACUCCUAUUUUUCCCAUCAGUCUAAAUGCUUACUUACCUUAUUCAUCCAUAAACUGUCUUCAUUCAGAAAUCCCAUGUUAAAUACU
rnacentral:lncRNA from 1 species